rnacentral:rRNA from 2 species
UAUGCACCGAAGCCGCGGCAGCGAUAUGUAAAUAUUGUUGGGUAGGGGAGCGUUCUGUAAGCCUGUGAAGGUGACCUGUGAGGGUUGCUGGAGGUAUCAGAAGUGCGAAUGCUGACAUAAGUAACGAUAAUGCGGGUGAAAAACCCGCACGCCGGAAGACCAAGGGUUCCUGUCCAACGUUAAUCGGGGCAGGGUGAGUCGACCCCUAAGGCGAGGCUGAAAAGCGUAGUCGAUGGGCAACGGGUUAAUAUUCCCGUACUGGUGGUAACUGCGAAGGGGGGACGGAGAAAGCUAAAUCAUCCGGGCGACGGUUGUCCCGGUUUAAGCGUGCAGGUGGACUGACCAGGCAAAUCCGGUCGGUUGUUAACACUGAGGCGUGACGACGAGCCACUACGGUGGUGAAGUGAUUGAUGCUCUGCUUCCGGGAAAAGCCUCUAAGCUCCAGGUUACCAUUAAUCGUACCCCAAACCGACACAGGUGGUCAGGUAGAGAAUACUCAGGCGCUUGAGAGAACUCGGGUGAAGGAACUAGGCAAAAUGGUGCCGUAACUUCGGGAGAAGGCACGCUGGCAUUAGGUGAAGUGGUUUACCCAUGGAGCUGAAGCCAGCCG